AAAAGUGCUUACAGUGCAGGUAGCUUCUGGAGGUCUACUGCAAUGCAAGCACUUCUUAC
rnacentral:pre_miRNA from 1 species